rfam:Gorilla gorilla gorilla genomic chromosome, chr16, whole genome shotgun sequence
GCUGGGCGUGGUGGUGUGCACCUGUAGUCCCAGCUACUAGGGAGGCUGAGGCAGAAGAAUUGCUUGAACCCAGGAGGCGAAGGUUGCAGUGAGCAGAGAUUCUGCCACUGCACUCCAGCCUGGGUGACAGAGCAAGACUCUGUCUCAA